CAAUAGCGUAUAUUAAAGUUGUUGCGGUUAAAAAGCUCGUAGUUGGAUUUCUGCUGAGGACGACCGGUCCGCCCUCCGGUCGGAGGUAUCUGGUUCGGCCUGGGCAUCUUCUUGGAGAACGUAUCUGCACUUGACUGUGUGGUGCGGUAUCCAGGACUUUUACCUUGAGAAAUUAGAGUGUUUCAGGCAGGCUAUCGCCGGAAUACAUUAGCAUGGAAUAAUGGAAAGGACUUCAACCUCUUCUGUUGGUCUGAGAGGCUGUAGUAAUGAUUAAUAGGGAUAGUUGGGGGCAUUAGUACUUGACUGUCAGAGGUGAAAUUCUCCGAUUUGUUAAAGACUAACUUAUGCGAAAGCAUUUGCCAAGGAUGUUUUUCAUUAAUCAAGAACGAAAGUUAGGGG
rnacentral:rRNA from 1 species